UACAGAGGUCUCAAGCGUUGUUCGGAUUCAUUGGGCGUACCGGGCGCGUAGGCUGCGGGGCAAGUCGGGUGUGAAAUCUCAGAGCUCAACUCUGAAACUGCACUCGAUACUGCUUUGCUUGAGGACUGGAGAGGAGAUUGGAAUUCACGGUGUAGCAGUGAAAUGCGUAGAUAUCGUGAGGAAGACCAGUGGCGAAGGCGGAUCUCUGGACAGUUCCUGACGCUGAGGCGCGAAGGCCAGGGGAGCAAACGGG
rnacentral:rRNA from 1 species